AAUAAUUUGUGGUUAAGUUAAUCUCGUCUUCAUUGUCAUCACAGUAUAGAGAUUCGCGUCUAAGAAAGGACAUGGCAAAGUUGGAGGGGAACUAAAGAGGAGAUUAAAAUGUAACAGAAAACUUAGCUACAAUGGGAAGGCAGAAACAGAACUAAGAAAAAUCUGGCUCAGGAGUUUGAAAAAAGAUCGAUAGAAGACUAGACAAUGGAAUCACUAUGUCAUAGAACCUUAGAAUCAUAGAAUUUUAAUGUUGAUAAGAAACUUGGAGAUCACUGCAACAGCUAUGUUUCUAUAGGGAGAACCAAACCAGAGGAGAGCAAGGUAUAGGGGAUCCUCUGAAAGGGUGUCAGAGACCUCCAGGUUUUUCUAGACCGUACUUUGAGAGCCACUGCUCUAGAUUCUCAUCAAGAUGGUCUUCAAGCAGCUCUUGGGAGGAAAACAUUGUGUAGACCAACCUCUAUAGCUGAGCGAGAAUAUGAAUUGAAUUUGGGGGCAAAGGACCUGCCCACAUCACCGUUGAAUCAAUUUAUUGGUCUCAUUACAAUGACCCUGCCCCACGGUUGUGACAUCUUAAAUAACGUUUAUUACAAAAGAGAGAGAAGACAAAAA